rnacentral:rRNA from 1 species
UACGUAGGUGGCGAGCGUUGUCCGGAUUUAUUGGGCGUAAAGCGCGCGCAGGCGGUGCGGUAAGUCCGUCGUGAAAUCUCCCGGCUCAACUGGGAGGGUGCGGUGGAGACUGCCGGACUGGAGGCACUCAGAGGCCGGUGGAAUUCCCGGUGUAGUGGUGAAAUGCGUAGAGAUCGGGAGGAACACCAGUGGCGAAGGCGGCCGGCUGGGGGUGACCUGACGCUGAGACGCGAAAGCGUGGGGAGCAAACAGG